ensembl:miRNA MIR10A microRNA 10a
UCUGUCUUCUGUAUAUACCCUGUAGAUCCGAAUUUGUGUAAGGAAUUUUGUGGUCACAAAUUCGUAUCUAGGGGAAUAUGUAGUUGACAUAAACACUCCGC